AUCUUGGGACGUUACUCGCAGUCUUACCGCCGGCUAACUCUGUGCCAGCAGCCGCGGUAAUACAGAGGGUGCGAGCGUUAAUCGGAUUUACUGGGCGUAAAGCGUGCGUAGGCGGCUGAUUAAGUCGGAUGUGAAAUCCCUGAGCUUAACUUAGGAAUUGCAUUCGAUACUGGUCAGCUAGAGUAUGGGAGAGGAUGGUAGAAUUCCAGGUGUAGCGGUGAAAUGCGUAGAGAUCUGGAGGAAUACCGAUGGCGAAGGCAGCCAUCUGGCCUAAUACUGACGCUGAGGUACGAAAGCAUGGGGAGCAAACAGGAUUAGAUACCCUGGUAGUCCAUGCCGUAAACGAUGUCUACUAGCCGUUGGGGCCUUUGAGGCUUUAGUGGCGCAGCUAACGCGAUAAGUAGACCGCCUGGGGAGUACGGUCGCAAGACUAAAACUCAAAUGAAUUGACGGGGGACCGCACAAGCGGUGGAGCAUGUGGUUUAAUUCGAUGCAACGCGAAGAAACUUACCUGGCCUUGACAUACUAGAAACUUU
rnacentral:rRNA from 1 species